rnacentral:rRNA from 1 species
UACGUAGGGGGCAAGCGUUAUCCGGAUUUAAUGGGCGUAAAGGGUGUGCAGGCGGCUGAGUAAGACAGAUGUGAAAUCCCCGGGCUUAACCUGGGAACCGCAUAUGUGACUGCUUGGCUAGAGUGCGUCAGAGGGAGGUGGAAUUCCACGUGUAGAAGUGAAAUGCGUAGAUAUGUGGAAGAACACCGAUGGCGAAGGCAGCCUCCUGGGACGCAACUGACGCUCAUACACGAAAGCGUGGGGAGCAAACAGG